CUUCAUUCAUCAAGCCACGUGCGCCGCUCGCUGCCAGCAGGAAAAUUAUCUUGGAAUAUUAAUAAUAUUGAGCAUUCGCGCAAUGGCCGCUGUGUUCUAUCGUCACGCUGCGCUGCUGUUCUGCGUCGCCUCCCUGGAUGCGGCGCGGCCGUCCGGAUGCUUCAUGGCAACUUUUCCGUUUUAUCCUGGGAACCCGAUUAAUAUCAUGCUGCACAUGAGGUCCAUAUGUUAUUCUGCAGGCGACGUCCCAUCAUGCCCCACUGAGAGUGAUGGCCAGUUUCAAAAUUGCAGCCGAACGCCGUAUGAAGUUUAUAUCUGCAGCAGAAACAACGCUGUUAAAGUCAACGUUGUGAACACAAAGGGGAACCUUGAGACAAAUGUCCUAGAGAUUGACCAUGGGGACAAUAAGGAUCCAAUUCCGCUAAAGAAAACAGGUUUGGAUAUGAAAUUAGAUUAGAUUUGCCAAUUCUCAGCCUCUUGGUAAAGUUUUAACCAGCAUUUUUAUCCCUUCAGACUGUGUCGCCGUGUACACACUGAAAGGUAAGUCCAAAAAAAAAAAAAAAAAGACGCUUAAAGAGAAUUUUGGUAAGAGCACAUCUUUUUCAUUUCUUCCCAAGGAACCCAUCCUACAACGACCCCAGUGUCGCCUCCAGCUCAUGGU
rnacentral:lncRNA from 1 species